AGCCGACUCGCGCCAGAAGACGAACCUCUGCGGAAAUCGAACGUUAGCCGGCCCGGUUCUCGGAGCGUUCAGCUGACUCACGAUUUUCACAACGCCGCCGGCUGGCUCAUUAAUUACAUAGACUCGCCGUUUCUUUUAUCAACGUCGGCGCGUAUCAUAUUUUCUAAUCGAAGACGACCCCUCGCCGCUUCCGUCUUACCUCUUGCUACAAUCGAGAGGUUGCUUAACCUUACAAUACGUUGCCGCAAUUUUUCAGUCGCGUAAUCCACAUUUUUUGGUCGAAGAGUUUAUGGUUUAGCUUAGAAAUAUUUAUACUCUCGUGAUUUUGCAGCUUUAUGUUGUUACGUUAGAAAAUUCGGGGGAGAUGAGGCGAAUCGAUGUAGGGACCAGCUAACACGGUUUCGUCAAGGCCACGACCAACCGCGACGACGCGUUUUCUCCGACGGCGAGCUUGACGCUGAUUGGUCGGAUCAGCUCGUGCCAGAAGACGCACCUCCGCAGAAAACAAACAUCGAGUGGCCCGAUUCACGACAUUAGGGCUGACUCACUUUCCCGAUAUCGCGGACAGGCUCCUUAAUUACAUCAGCUCACCGAGUUCUAGUAUUUACGGAGUAUCGUAACUUGUAAUCGGGGAUAACUUCUAUUGUUUUUCGUCUUGCCACUCUCCUCGGUCCGAUAUCUUUUACUUAUUUGCAAUAACAAAGCGCCUUUCACAUAAUUCAACGUCCCGGGACUAUUUUGGAUACGCAGUAGUUCAUCGGAGUAAACUAACGUACCUCGAAUGUUGAGUGAAACAUUCCGCAAGAAAUGGCGACUGGUAUUUAUUCAUUUAGGACGUCGUGAACAUAAACGGCGUGUCAAAAUGGCGGCUUUCAAAUCUUGCCGGGAUGCAGAAAGACCUGGUAUAUUUUCGUAAAAAGGUUCUACAUCAUCCGGGGAAUUUAACCCGGCUUCUCGUACAGCAUCCUUCUCGUUCGAGUCUAUUGACUUGAACAUGUUUUACCUUUGUUGUGUAGGCGAAAUUAAUACCUGAUCUCAAAGAAAAACUGCCCAACGACGCGCGUCACGAUUAGGUUUCUUGAUUGCGCCGCCGUGAUAUGAUAACACCGAAGUUAACAAAGAGCGUUGCACAAUAGAAAUAAUGGAAAUUAGUACCGAGUAUUAAGACAGCGGUUGAAUGCCAGUUAGUGAUUAAAACCGACCAUGUAAUACCCUUCCACCGAGCACUGAAUUUCCUCAAUUAAUUCCAACGCCGAGAAUGCUUAAUCGUCUAUGUAUUUUAAUUAAAUCGUUGAUACAAACAAGAACUUGCGAUAAGGAAGGUCAUUCGCCAGACACUCAUUUCGACAGGAGAAUAAUUCUUUUUUUUCUUUUUUUUCCCUGUAACUUUUAACUCCAUCUCAAUAUUUAUAUGAAAUUCAGAUAUAAGUGUCUGCGUAAAUAAGAUUAAACUUCUGUCGGUGCUUGAAUAUCGCUGAUAUUAUUUUAACAGGCCCAGUUUUUAAUUGGCGAUAACGUUCUCGGGAUUUUUCGUCAGUCGGGUCAUUAUGAAAGAAAUCAUUGAAUGCUUGGCACUGCACGUUGCAUGUGACGGUGCAACGAUGUCACAAUGCAUUUGUACACCCACUUUGCAGGGAGUUCUCAUUGGUAUAGACUCGUUAGAGAGUACUCGAGGUAAACAACGAUAUUUGGACCGACUUGCUUUUCCUAGUGCGCACAUUGCCAGGAAAUAACAAGAGAAUGAAAGAGAAGUGACGCAGUUAAAAUGACUCCCAUUUGAAAACAAGAACCGUCCCUCGACCGAUCACCAGCAAAACACGCAUCGAAUAAUUCGCACAUGAGUGCGAGUGGACCCGUAGCCGUUAGAAUCUCUUUAGAUAAUAAUUAUUCACCUUUAUUAGUCAUUCAAUGCAUCAUUCAUGUCGGAAUUGACGGAGUAAAUGUAAACCGGGGACUUAAGAGUUACACGUCUUACCACUUUAUUUUACAUGGAUAAGAAAAGUCUAGUUACCUCUUUGAGUACGGAACCCUUUCGACAUAUGGGCGAAAUUCAUCAGUGCGUGCAAGCAAUAUUGAACCAAACGUCGGACGCCUUUAAUAGCUGGAGGGUUAAUAAUGAUUUUAGCGUCAUUGGGUGCGAUAUUUUCGAUUCCUUGUCGAGAAUAUCUACUGAAUGUUUUAAACAGAAUAUCGAAUUGGUGACUCGCCGACCUUGCGAUAGAAGUGUGUUCAUGCUAAGUGUGGAAUAGUUUUAGGGCACGGCCGCGAGAUGGCACCCUUUCUCGAGAUAUCGAAGAAACGGAGGGCUCACUCUGUUACCCUCUGUUACUCUUUGAUUUACUUUUAUUUAUCAUCACAAGUCUAACGAACUAUCGCACGAUUUUAAGAACAAGUAUACUGUACGUUUUUAAAAAAGAUGGUGGAGCUUAAAAAAUUAGUAAAAAUAGGUGUAUAUGGUGGAGUCGCUGCGAGUGCUGCUGGACUUUUUGUAAUAUACUCGUUGCAAAGAAAAUUUCGUAAAUCUGCCUCCUAUCAAGAAGCUAUGCAACAUUUACGCAGUCAUCCUCUUGCGAUUCAAAAGCUUGGUGAACCAAUAAAACAAAAAGGAAAUGUCUCUAUGGCACAUCUAGAUCCUGAAGAUUCAUGCAAAAUAAUAAAGGUUACGGUCCCUAUCGCAGGACCCAAGGGAACUGGAAAAUUACAGUAUUACAUUAAAAUAAUAAAUGAAAACCUAGGUACAUUUCUAGUUAACAAAGUAGAACUUGAUCUUCCUAAACUUAAUAUGAAAGAAGUAAUAUUUGAAAAUAAAUAAUCAAAUUAAUGAAAACAGGUUUAUGGCUGAAAAAGCAAAUUGAGAUAAUUAAACAAAUUUUAUAAAUAAAAAAAAUGUAAUUUCAACCUUCCUUGGACUAAAUAAGAAUGAAUAAGGGUGUCAUUGUGUGUCUUAUUUACAUACAAUUUAUUUUAUGCCGGCAUCAACUACCUUGAAUAUAUUAAGUUAUAGGAUUAUGUAAAAAUUAUUGAUUUAAUGAAAAAGGAGUUGUGCUCUAUGUGAGUACCAUCCUGUAUUAUUGACAUGUAAAUAAAAUGUUAUCUAAAUGUU